GGUAAAAAUUCCUCUCUUCAAAAAUGACCUUUUAAUCUUCAAGCUGUCAAGAUUCUUCUCUGGAAAGUGAUUUCAGGCACUAAUCGAAGCAAUAGUAGAACAAUGGGGUUAGGAUCUUCUAAACCUGAAGAAGAAAUGCCUUUGACAACAACA